UGGGGAAUAUUGCACAAUGGGCGCAAGCCUGAUGCAGCCAUGCCGCGUGUGUGAAGAAGGCCUUCGGGUUGUAAAGCACUUUCAGCGAGGAGGAAGGGUUCAGUGUUAAUAGCACUGUUCAUUGACGUUACUCGCAGAAGAAGCACCGGCUAACUCCGUGCCAGCAGCCGCGGUAAUACGGAGGGUGCAAGCGUUAAUCGGAAUUACUGGGCGUAAAGCGCACGCAGGCGGUUUGUUAAGUCAGAUGUGAAAUCCCCGCGCUUAACGUGGGAACUGCAUUUGA
rnacentral:rRNA from 1 species